GAAAAUAUGGUUAUCUUUGUUGGGUUUUUCUAUAGAGUGGUGUUUUGCACCUCAAGACUUCAUUCUGUAAGAUGUAUCGACUGGAUUGCCUACCUGUAACUCAGCUUUGUAAGCAGCCUCCUGAGGUUAGCCGUGGUGGUAUUACAUGCCUUGUGCUUUGCCAGCCCCUACAAGCCAGCCAAAGUCUGUUAAAGCCUUCAGAGCACAAAACACUGAUAAGAUGGAUCUCUAACAGGUAUGCAUCAAGGAUAAAGUGGAGAUGUUCCAUUUCCAACAACCUAAAAUCAGCUGCAGUUAACUCAAAAUGGUAGUAAUUGACUCUUGUUUCUUUACUUCUACUGGAACAGGGCAGCUAAUGUAUGCGGUGGAAAUGCUGAUACUAAGAAUGUACAGUAUAUACAUAUAUACUGUGUGCAUAUGUAUGUGUGUAUACAUGUAUAUGCUAGAAUGUUGAAGUGUAGAAGUCAAUUUUUUGAAAGUUUGGGGAGAUUCAGGUACAUGGCUUGCUUUGAACUUUUGUUAAAAAUAUGGGUAUUUUGGUUAGGAAGCUAAAAGUAGACACAUUAAGACCUACAUUCUCAAUGUAGGUCAGCAGAGGCACUUCUCAGACAUAUUAGCAUUUUGGACACUUAAUUUUAGCAGCGUGUUGCAUCUCCUAGAAUAGGUUCGAGGCAAUGCAGGAGAAAUUACUGCAUCUCAAGUCAUUCAGAAAGGUUGCCAAGUUUCUCAGGAACCAGAAUGGCAGAAUAAUGAGUAUUAUAUUUAAUUCAGGAUGGGAAGGCAACCGUGGGGAGUUCACCAGAGGCAACUCAAAUCAUCUUGGCUCCAUGGGGGAGGAAGAAUUUAUAACUAUAGCUAGCUAAAAAGAAGCAAGCUGUGUGUGCAUUUGUGUGUAUAUAUAUAUAUUUAUAAAUAUGUAUAUACAAAUCUGUGCAUGUGUAUAUAACACUAUGUAUAUAUGUAUGUAUAUGUCUAUAAUGUAUAAUAUGUGUAUCUAUCAGAUAAGUAUACAUUUAUAUAAAUUUAUAUUUCUCUAUAUAGAUAGUCAUGCAACUAUGGGAAAUCAUAUUUCAAUGGUGUGCCCUUUUCUUUAAAAACCUACAAAAAGCUGCUUCCAUUAAUAUAAUAUUGAUACAAAUGUCAUAAGUUAUCUUUUCUAUGUAGCAAGGAGCGUUGCUUAGUGGUGGAGUACAAGGCUGGAAGGUUUUUACUAUGCCAGAGGACCCCAAAUAAGUCAUUAGCUGCUCCACAGCUGUUCUACAUUUGUGAAAUAAAGUGGUGGCCAAAAUUACUCAGGGCUGGCUUUAAAAGCAAAGGAAGAGUGGUGUUGACUGUUUGUGCUUUAGAAAUCUUGCAGAGUUUUGUUAGUGAAAUAACCACACUAGUAAUUAUUCUGGUUGCUGUUUUGUCUCAGCUGAUGCAAAUGGAACAGAGAAAGAAAAAAAAAAAAAGAGAUUAAUUUCCUGCUCUAAAGUAAGUUAUCUUAAGUCAGAUUACUUUGACUCAGUGAUGUAUGGAUUUCCAUUUAGGGUUAGGAUGUUAGGCUGUAAAUUAAGAAUCUUAGCUCAGUGAAUGUCUAGUUCAGGAUGUGUCUUUUAUGUUAUAAUUGAUUUUAAAUAAUUUCACUUCAUUAUCAGAAAAAGCUGUACCUUAGUUCAUGGUAAACUUAAAGGUUUUCUCAGCUGGAAAUCCAUUCAUAUCAGGGUGAAUUUUGCACUUGAGUUCAGUGGGAUUGAAUCAGAUCAGAGUGUUUCAUUAAGCGCUGACAUUAAAACAAUCUUGUAGUUGUGCAACUAUUAACUAAAAUUGUAAUUUUGUAAUAAAAGUGAGCCUAAAA
rnacentral:lncRNA from 1 species